CCCAGGAUGCACUCCCGCCGCAUCGCCCUCCGGGGAUCCCCCGAUUUCACCUCCGCCCUCGCCCACAGCACGAACGCGGCCGGCGGGGAGUGUGGGAACGCGGGCAUCCUAGCCCUUUCCUCCGCCGUGGCCUCGUCGUGGAUCCUCCUCGCUAGUAUCCUUUGCUCCACGUCCGCCCUCCUCUGACAUAUCUCCGCGUAUCUCACCGCCGCGGAUCUCGCGCUCGGGGCGGUCUCCGCCGCCACUGCCUGAUCCGCCGCCUUCCACUCCCGCACACACCGGAUCCACGCCACGGUGGUGUCUCGAAUCCUGGUCGCCCGCUCCACCCAUCCCCGAGCCCUGGUCGCGCACCCCCUGCGGAACUGGUGAGAUCAGCCUCACCAUCUCCGGGGAGGCUUCAUAGACGAAAGGGGGCAUCCGAGGGGGUGGAGGGGGUGUGGCCGCGGUCGGCGCCCGCGGCCCUCGCCGGCGUGGAGGCAUGCUGCGAGGCUGGAGUGGCGAGAUCUGCGGGGGCGAUGGCUAUGGCGAGCGAGAGGCGUGGUUUCGCGAGAGCUAUCCUAGCAGCGCUCAUGAGGCGUGGUUGUGGCUGAUUGUGCUUUCAGACUUGGUAAGCUUGGUAAGAUUAAGAAAGAAACAUUGAUUUUUUUUGGUGUUUGUGAGAAGAAAAAAUAUAGUCUGUUGGUAGGGAAGAUAAUAAUAUACUUAGAGAGAUAUUUUCUAUAUUCAGUUCUGUUUCCUUUCCGCCAAAUGGAUGUAUGCAAUCUUUUUAUUCUAUUUCCUACAAACGAUAUACUAUUCAGGAAGGAGGUGUUAGCCUAGAGAGGCUGUACGCACCAUUGUAAAUGUGACACUCUUAAGUUUAAAGUCUGAGGCAUAAUGUACCUCUUAUUCGAAUCAAAUGUGAGUGCUCUGAAAGACUGAAACUGGCUAUCACAUAUGCAUAUGCAUGUACCUAAACUCUGACAGAAGACAUAUCCAGUGCUACCACCACACACGGCGCCGCCACGCUCCCUCCAUUUCGAAUUUUUGGAAAACCAUGAUUUGUCAUGAAAAUUUCAUAAGAAAAAAGAAAUACCAUGUCACGAAAGUUCUAUUCUAAGUAAAAGAGUGGUGGCAGAGGGCAGAAAAUAUUAACUGAAAUUUUGUCUCUGUGUUUCCUCAGAGAUUUAUUGACAGGAGCUAAAUUAUUAUGGCAUGGUUCAUCAAUCCAAGUCGUUUCAGAUAACGUUUAUGACCAUCGCAAGUCUUUCCGACGGGCGGGAGCGCGGCAUCACGGUAAACGGGUGGGAGAACCAGAU
rnacentral:lncRNA from 1 species